rnacentral:ncRNA from 1 species
CACGAUAAAGGUAAACCCUGAGUGAUCAGGGGGCGCAAAGUGUAGGAUCUCAGCUCAAGUCAUCUCCAGAUAAGAAAUAUCAGAAAGAUAGCCUUACUGCCGAAG